ACUCUAGUCCGACUUUGUGAAAUGACUUAGGAGGAGUAGCAUAAGUGGGAGCUUCGGUGAUCUUGAAAUACCACUACUCUUAAUGUCAUUUUACUUAUUCCGUGAGACUGAAACUUGCAUCAUGUGAGUUUUUGAUUUAACGUUGCCUCUUUUGGCAGCUGAUCUGUGCGGAAGACAUAGUCAGGUGGGGAGUUUGGCUGGGGCGGCACAUCUGUUAAAUGAUAACGCAGGUGUCCUAACCCAGACCACCGAAAGGAUCUAAAAAAUAGAUCCCCCUAAAGGCAGUUCCUCUAAAGUACCCCUUAGUAGUAUAGGGUCCCAAAUUAGGGG
rnacentral:ncRNA from 1 species